CCUACGGGAGGCAGCAGUGAGGAAUAUUGGUCAAUGGACGGAAGUCUGAACCAGCCAUGCCGCGUGCAGGAAGACGGCUCUAUGAGUUGUAAACUGCUUUUGUACAAGGGUAAACCUGAAUACGUGUAUUCAGUUGAAAGUACUGUACGAAUAAGGAUCGGCUAACUCCGUGCCAGCAGCCGCGGUAAUACGGAGGAUCCAAGCGUUAUCCGGAUUUAUUGGGUUUAAAGGGUGCGUAGGCGGAUUUAUAAGUCAGCGGUGAAAGUUCCGAGCUUAACUAGAGAAUUGCCUCUGAUACUGGUGAUCUAGAGAGUGUAUGCGGUAGGCGGAAUGUAUGGUGUAGCGGUGAAAUGCUUAGAGAUCAUACAGAACACCGAUUGCGAAGGCAGCUUACCAAUCUAUAUCUGACGUUGAGGCACGAAAGCGUGGGGAGCGAACAGGAGUAGAUACCCUGGUAGUC
rnacentral:rRNA from 1 species